rnacentral:rRNA from 1 species
GCACAAUCACUUGUUCUUUAAAUCAGGACUAGUAUGAAUGGCCCCACGAGGGCUAUACUGUCUCCCCCCCUUAAUCAGUGAAACUGAUCCCCUCGUGAAGAAGCGAGCAUGAUCCUAUAAGACGAGAAGACCCCAUGGAACUUUAAACUCGUACCACUGCCUCUUAUAUACCACACCACCCAAAGCAAUAUGACUACAAGUCUUUCGGCUGGGGCGACCACGGAGAAAAAUAAAACCUCCACGACGAAAAGGAAUACCCCCCCCCCCAAUC